rnacentral:rRNA from 1 species
UGGCGGCGUGCUAAUACAUGCAAGUCGAGCGAAUGGAUUGAGAGCUUGCUCUCAAGAAGUUAGCGGCGGACGGGUGAGUAACACGUGGGUAACCUGCCCAUAAGACUGGGAUAACUCCGGGAAACCGGGGCUAAUACCGGAUAACAUUUUGAACYGCAUGGUUCGAAAUUGAAAGGCGGCUUCGGCUGUCACUUAUGGAUGGACCCGCGUCGCAUUAGCUAGUUGGUGAGGUAACGGCUCACCAAGGCAACGAUGCGUAGCCGACCUGAGAGGGUGAUCGGCCACACUGGGACUGAGACACGGCCCAGACUCCUACGGGAGGCAGCAGUAGGGAAUCUUCCGCAAUGGACGAAAGUCUGACGGAGCAACGCCGCGUGAGUGAUGAAGGCUUUCGGGUCGUAAAACUCUGUUGUUAGGGAAGAACAAGUGCUAGUUGAAUAAGCUGGCACCUUGACGGUACCUAACCAGAAAGCCACGGCUAACUACGUGCCAGCAGCCGCRGUAAUACA